rnacentral:rRNA from 1 species
AACGAACGCUGGCGGCAUGCCUAACACAUGCAAGUCGAACGAAGGCUUCGGCCUUAGUGGCGCACGGGUGCGUAACGCGUGGGAAUCUGCCCUUGGGUUCGGAAUAACUCAGAGAAAUUUGAGCUAAUACCGGAUGAUGACGUAAGUCCAAAGAUUUAUCGCCCAAGGAUGAGCCCGCGUAAGAUUAGCUAGUUGGUGGGGUAAAGGCCUACCAAGGCGACGAUCUUUAGCUGGUCUGAGAGGAUGAUCAGCCACACUGGGACUGAGACACGGCCCAGACUCCUACGGGAGGCAGCAGUGGGGAAUAUUGGACAAUGGGCGAAAGCCUGAUCCAGCAAUGCCGCGUGAGUGAUGAAGGCCUUAGGGUUGUAAAGCUCUUUUACCAGGGAUGAUAAUGACAGUACCUGGAGAAUAAGCUCCGGCUAACUCCGUG